AUCCAGUUGACGAGUCCCAAACAAAACGAAAUGCUCAUUCUGGAU
rnacentral:hammerhead_ribozyme from 1 species